rnacentral:rRNA from 1 species
UACAGAGGGUGCGAGCGUUGUCCGGAAUCACUGGGCGUAAAGCGUCUGUAGGUGGUUUAAAAAGUCCACUGUUAAAAAUUGAAGCUUAACUUCAAAGAUGCCGUGGAAACUUUUAAACUUGAGUAUGGUAGGGGUAGAGGGAAUUCCCGGUGUAGCGGUGAAAUGCGUAGAGAUCGGGAAGAACAUCGGUGGCGAAGGCGCUCUACUGGACCACAACUGACACUCAGGGACGAAAGCUAGGGGAGCGAAUGGG